CUCCCUCUCCCUCUUUUCAGCUCUUCCAGGAGUCAAAAUUCUGCCACGUCGAUUCUGAAAAAUCCACAUUUGAAAAUUUUGCCGCUGAUCUGAGAGGGAUUUAUGAGUCGACGGGGGUGAAAGGGCCAGGAAACCCAACGCUUCUUGCCACCCACAUUCUUUUGCCUUCUCGUACCACCAUCAAACACUCAGAGGUUUUAAAGGACCCUCCUCUCUUCCUCCUCCCCCACUCACCUACCACUCUUUUGGCAUCUCACACACUCGGACGUCCAGCCGAACAGAGCCAGAGAAAAAGAGAGACAGAGACGGAGAAAUGGAUGGAUGAUGGUUUUCGGAGGACAAUCAGAAUGUCUAAUGCCAAAUCUGAUUGGCACAGAUGCAUGGACUUUGAGUGCUGUUGGACUCAUCUCAUCUCCCCGUGAAGCGUCAUGCCCGCCCCGCUUUCCCAGUGUUCAGACUACCUGUUCAGGGCGUAGAGAUUGUACAGUAGUCUGCACAUUGGUUAGGCUGUGUGGGGGGUGCACACACAUCAACUAGUUCUGUUCAUCAACAGUCUCGUCAUCAUGUCUCUGUACGUCCAUGGAAAUGUGCAUGCCUUCAUGUGCGAAGUAAUGUCUGUGUAUUUAAGUGUCUUUGGGGAAGUGGAUUACACAGCGAAGUUAGCAAAAUCUGACAAAGCAUUCCCUCAGCAGAACCUCCUCAGCAGAAACAUCAAUUAAGUUAUGCAAAUAAUUAAGUUAAGUAAACAAUGCUUACUUGCUUAGUAAUGUUUUAAAAAAUUCUCUC